rnacentral:rRNA from 1 species
AAAUUGAAGAGUUUGAUCAUGGCUCAGAUUGAACGCUGGCGGCAGGCCUAACACAUGCAAGUCGAACGGUAACAGGAAGCAGCUUGCUGCUUCGCUGACGAGUGGCGGACGGGUGAGUAAUGUCUGGGAAACUGCCUGAUGGAGGGGGAUAACUACUGGAAACGGUAGCUAAUACCGCAUAAUGUCGCAAGACCAAAGAGGGGGACCUUCGGGCCUCUUGCCAUCGGAUGUGCCCAGGUGGGAUUAGCUUGUUGGUGGG